CGGCCGCGGGAUUCGAUUAUUAGAUACCCGGGUAGUCCACGCCGUAAACGAUGGAUACUAGCUGUCCGGGACCUUGAGUUCUGGGCGGCCCAGCGAAAGUGAUAAGUAUCCCACCUGGGGAGUACGUUCGCAAGAAUGAAACUCAAAGGAAUUGACGGGGGCCCGCACAAGCGGUGGAGCAUGUGGUUUAAUUCGAUGAUACGCGAGGAACCUUACCAGGGCUUAAAUGUAGUCUGACAGCUUUAGAGAUAGAGUUUUCUUCGGACAGAUUACAAGGUGCUGCAUGGUUGUCGUCAGCUCGUGCCGUGAGGUGCCAGGUUAAGUCCUAUAACGAGCGCAACCCCUGUCGUUAGUUGCCAGCAUGUCAUGAUGGGGACUCUAACGAGACUGCCGGUGCAAACCGUGAGGAAGGUGGGGAUGACGUCAAAUCAUCACGGCCCUUACGUCCUGGGCCACACACGUGC
rnacentral:rRNA from 1 species